UACGGAGGGUGCAAGCGUUAUCCGGAUUCACUGGGCUUAAAGGGUGCGUAGGCGGACAGGUAAGUCAGUGGUGAAAUCUCUGGGCUUAACCCAGAAACUGCCGUUGAUACUAUUUGUCUUGAAUAUCCUGGAGGUAGGCGGAAUAUGUCAUGUAGCGGUGAAAUGCUUAGAUAUGACAUAGAACACCGAUAGCGAAGGCAGCUUACUACAGGAUGAUUGACGCUGAGGCACGAAAGCGUGGGGAGCAAACAGG
rnacentral:rRNA from 1 species